GGUGAUGGGGAAGAUGCCUUGCCGGGACGUCCCUGGGAUCCUCCCUUCGUACCAGUUCUCGUCCACCUGUCGAAGCAGCAUGAUCCUCUCACCCUGCAAGACACGGCAAGAUGAGGACGAGGCACUGGGAGAGUCGCACACUUGUCAAAGCCGGCAUGGUCAAGGGACUGGCAGCACUGGAACUUGAACCUUGUCGUCGGGCACCACAGACAGUACUCUCAGCUGCUCUAACAUUUCCCUACGACCCAGGAGGCAGCACCUUCCAAGACCCCAGGCUCACACAUUACAGGAAACAGGGGUUCUUCUAACAUUGUGAUAUGGAAUCAUGCCAAUAAAAUGCUAAACUGCA